GCUCAAGUAUGACCAAACAGUAACCGAAUAUGCCUCAGAAUUCUCUUACUUCAACGACUCGUUAAUACCUUUUUCUAACUGCCACUCCAUCACGCCAAGCAUAUCCGUCCGUAAUAUUCUACAACCCUCUGCCAAUAAAAACCCACCCUUUUCUUCUUCUUCUUCUUCUUCCUUCACUGUCUGCAACCCCCAAAUUCUGGUACCGAUCACUUCUUUCUACUCUCUGUUUGUUUAUUUUCCGAGAAUCUCGAGACACCAAUGAAGUUUGGGAAGCAGCUGAAACAACAAAUGCGGGGAACAUUGCCCGGGUGGAGGGACAAGUUCUUGUCGUACAAGUUGUUGAAGCAGCUGGUCAAGCAGAUAUCUUCCCCGACGUUGUCGAAUGGGUCCCAGGUCGAGUAUGGGGUUGCAGAGAAGGAAUUCGUGUGCUUGUUGAACAGUGAGAUUGAGAAGCUCAAUACUUUCUUCAUGGAACAGGAGGAGGAUUUCGUUAUCCGGCACAAGGAGCUGCAACAGAGGAUCCAAAGGGUGAUUGAUACAUGGGGGCCGAAUGGGAGUAGGCCUUCAGAGUCAAAGCAUAAAGAGGAGAUGGCAAAAAUCAGAAAAGACAUCGUUGAUUUUCAUGGUGAAAUGGUGCUUUUAGUUAACUACAGCAAUGUCAAUUACACAGGUCUGGCCAAGAUCUUGAAGAAGUAUGACAAAAGAACAGGUGGCGUUUUGCGUUUGCCAUUCAUCCAGAAGAUAUUGCAGCAGCCCUUUUUCACAACAGAUCUGAUCUCAAAACUCGUGAAGGAAUGCGAAAGCACCAUAGAUGUAGUAUUCCCAGUUGAGGAUGAAGAGAAGACUAGAGCAGCAAUAACAGUUGAAGGAGAAGGGAUUUUCAGGAAUACUGUUGCAGCCCUGCAGAGCAUGCAAGAGAUCAGAAGAGGAAGCUCUACUUAUGGUCACUUUUCUCUGCCUCCUCUGAAUUUGCCAGAUUCAGAGCUCAUUCAGUCCUUCCAACUCAAUUCUCCCAUUCCCACUGUCUAAUAGAGAUGAGAACCUAAACGUGGAUCAAGAAUUUCCAUAUCUGCAACAACGAUAUUUCUGAGGAUCACAUUGGUCAUGGCUUCAAUUUUGUGGGAUUUGGUCAACCGUAAGACUUUUAAUAUGAGAAGUGCUACUUUUAAGACUUCUACGAAGAGAUGGAGUGGCACAGUCAAGGGUGGCUACCAAGUUCAGAAUUAUAGAAUAUUUCCUGUGGCAUCCAAGCGUAGUGGGCUGAAAAAGCGAAGAAACCUUAAAGGAUCUGUAAAGGAGUUCUUGCAGUUGAACUUUUUCCUGGCAUGGUUCCAAACCUGUGGCUCCCAAUAUCUUCCAUCUUCCUGGGCUCCAACGUAGCCAGCCUGCUUUCCUUGAUUGCAUUUUCAAUCUGGGUGCGACCCUUUUUCUCCUCUUGGCCGAUUCCUGUGCCCGCCCAAAGCACCCAACUCAGGCAAGCAAAAGGGUUUGAAGCCUGGGAUUGAGCUCGGUGCACCGGAAUGGAUUAUGCAUGUGAUCCGGAGGUUGGUUGGUGUGCUGGUGCGUGCUGAUUCUAGGCAUACAGCUGAUGAGGGUGGCUUGGUUUGCUGGUUUCACUGCUCACGAUCUUCAGCAACAGCCUUUUUCUGCUGGUGAUGGCUAGUAAUACCAAAAGAUCAUCGGAAAACUAAAUAAGACUGGCUUCCCAUACAGAUUUUUGAGUGAACAAAUGAGUAAAUUAUAAACCCAAAGUUGUCUGGUUCAGUUACCGUGCUUAGAUGAUUAUCACAAUUACAACUAAAAUUGUAAUUACUCUGAUAAUUAAGCUUUCUUGCGUGGGGUUGAUCCCAGA